rnacentral:rRNA from 1 species
UACGUAGGGACCAAGCGUUGUUCGGAUUUACUGGGCGUAAAGGGCGCGUAGGCGGCUUAACAAGUCACUUGUGAAAUCUCCGGGCUUAACUCGGAACGGCCAAGUGAAACUGUCAAGCUAGAGUGCAGAAGGGGCAAUCGGAAUUCUUGGUGUAGCGGUGAAAUGCGUAGAUAUCAGGAGGAACACCGGUGGCGAAGGCGGUGGUCUGGGCCGGCACUGACGCUGAGGAGCGAAAGCGUGGGGAGCGAACAGG